rnacentral:misc_RNA from 1 species
UACGGAGGGGGCAAGCGUUGUUCGGAUUUACUGGGCGUAAAGGGCUCGUAGGCGGCCAUUUAAGUCGGUUGUGAAAUCCCCCGGCUCAACCGGGGAACUGCGACCGAUACUGGGUGGCUUGAAGCCGGGAGAGGGAUGCGGAAUUCCAGGUGUAGCGGUGAAAUGCGUAGAUAUCUGGAGGAACACCCGUGGCGAAGGCGGCAUCCUGGACCGGUCUUGACGCUGAGGAGCGAAAGCUAGGGUAGCAAACGGG